rnacentral:sRNA from 1 species
UAUGCCCUCCUUGGGCGUUUCCUCCCUAGACUGAAGGCCGCCGUGGCAACAUGGCGGCCUCCUUUUUUUUGC